GACGAACGCUGGCGGCGUGCUUAACACAUGCAAGUCGUACGGUAAGGCCCUUUCGGGGGUACACGAGUGGCGAACGGGUGAGUAACACGUGAGUAACCUGCCCACAACUUUGGGAUAACGCUAGGAAACUGGUGCUAAUACUGGAUAUGUGCUCCUGCUGCAUGGUGGGGGUUGGAAAGCUCCGGCGGUUGUGGAUGGACUCGCGGCCUAUCAGCUUGUUGGUGGGGUAGUGGCCUACCAAGGCGGCGACGGGUAGCCGGCCUGAGAGGGUGACCGGCCACAUUGGGACUGAGAUACGGCCCAGACUCCUACGGGAGGCAGCAGUGGGGAAUAUUGCACAAUGGGCGCAAGCCUGAUGCAGCAACGCCGCGGGCGGGAUAACGGCCUUCGGGUUGGAAACCGCUUUCAGCAGGGACGAAGCUUUUUGUGACGGUACCUGCAGAAGAAGCACCGGCUAACUACGUG
rnacentral:rRNA from 1 species